rnacentral:pre_miRNA from 1 species
CCUCUACUUCCUUCAUCCGGAAAUAGUUGUCAUUGGAAUGGAUGUAUCUAGAUGUAUUUUGGUCCUAGAUACAUCCAUUUGCAUCCAUUUUUAUGGCAAGUAAUUCAGGACAGAGGGAGUUUUUU